rnacentral:rRNA from 1 species
GAUCAUGGCUCAGGAUGAACGCUAGCUACAGGCUUAACACAUGCAAGUCGAGGGGCAGCAUUUUAGUUUGCUUGCAAACUAAAGAUGGCGACCGGCGCACGGGUGAGUAACACGUAUCCAACCUGCCGAUAACUCUGGGAUAGCCUUUCGAAAGAAAGAUUAAUACCGGAUGGCAUAGGAUUAUCGCAUGAUAAUCCUAUUAAAGAAUUUCGGUUAUCGAUGGGGAUGCAUU